rnacentral:rRNA from 1 species
CUACGUGCCAGCAGCCGCGGUAAUACGGAAGGUCCAGGCGUUAUCCGGAUUUAUUGGGUUUAAAGGGAGCGUAGGCGGAUUGUUAAGUCAGCGGUUAAAGGGUGUGGCUCAACCAUGCAUUGCCGUUGAAACUGGCGAUCUUGAGUGCAGACAGGGAUGCCGGAAUUCGUGGUGUAGCGGUGAAAUGCUUAGAUAUCACGAAGAACUCCGAUUGCGAAGGCAGCUUGCGGGAGCACAACUGACGCUGAAGCUCGAAAGUGCGGGUAUCAAACAGGAUUAGAUACCCUGGUAGUCCGCACGGUAAACGAUGGAUGCCCGUUCUUCGUUCUUUUGGAUGAGGGACCAAGCGAAAGCAUUAAGCAUCCCACCUGGGGAGUACGCCGGCAACGGUGAAACUCAAAGGAAUUGACGGGGGCCCGCACAAGCGGAGGAACAUGUGGUUUAAUUCGAUGAUACGCGAGGAACCUUACCCGGGCUUGAA